UCUUGUGAGUCCGCACGGGUAGAUACCA
rnacentral:sRNA from 1 species